UCUUCAGGCUGAUCCCCCAGAACCACCUCAGGAAUCCCAAAAGAAGAAAGGGGCUUGACUUGUGGCGCAGCCCCCGGGAUGGGAGAAUAUUAGUGGCAAAGCAAGACUUCAUGGGCCAGGCUUCCUGAAAUUCACAACGCCUGAGAGAAGAUUGAGUUGCAACAGGAAAUCUUUCCCUUACUGUUGGUUGUGGUCAAAAACAUUUGAAACACAUUGGUUUAAAGAGCAUCAGGUAAGAUACUGUUUGUGACCAAAAUAGAAAUAUAUAAUUAUCCUUAGCUAUCGUUUGAGUGUGUGUGUUGUUUCCUAAAGGGUUCAUAGCAAUAAAGGAGAAUUUGUGUGAUGAAAGUACUAGUGGAAGUUAUUUGGCACCUGAAUAUACGCCUGAGCGGAUUUUCUUUCAUUAAAUACACACACAUUGCAGUUACUGGCUUCCCUGUGUCCUGUACUUUUGCUUAUUGUGGUUUCCUGUAUUGAGUGGUUUCGUUAUUUUUUUGAAAUAUAUUUAUUUUGAAAUUUAAUUGCACGGUAUACAGAGAAAUUUGGGCAAAUAAAGUACCUCACUGAGGCAAUGUUGUAUAUGUCAGCUGAUUUUAAUAUAAGUUGACUUUAAUAAUAAGUUAAAUAUAACACAGUAACUUAUUUUAAAACUGAUUUAAGAUUUCAUUUUUUUUUUUCAUUUAAUUUCUAAGUGUGUGUCAGUGGAUUUUGCCUGAAGAUAUUACUGGUAGUAAAAGAGUAACAGAUGCAGUUCCCUAAAUUGGAGUUUUUCAUAGACAGUAGGAAAAUGUCAUUAAUUUGGAAUUUGUGAUACUUUGGGCCAGGAUUGGUCCGAUACUUUGGAAAGAUAAGAGCUUGUUACUAAAACAGUGAACUGUCAAAAGAGCUUUUAGGAGUUUUAAAUCUGUGUAAAAAUACGUUAUUGGAAGCAGUUAAGAAAAAGAAUCUACUUUUCUAUAUUGUGGUUAAUUGAGAUAUGUGUAGAUUCUCCAUUAUGGAGAUGACCAGGACAGAGAUAUAUUUAAAUAUUGUUUAUUCUUUGUGAGGCAUGAACUUAUUUUAUAGAAUAAGUUUAUAGUCUAAUUAUGGAGACAGAAGUAUAGAAGAAACCCAGCCUUAAAGAGUGCAGAGAUGUUUUUCUCUCCUCAUAGGACAGGAGGACGGCAUACAAAAGAUAAAAUUUCCUUGAGAAGGCUCUGGGCAGGAAGGUUGAGUGAGUUCUGGUUGCUGAUUUCAAAGACCUUACAAUGGGAUUGCAUCAUGGGCACAUUUAAUUUACUUGAGUUCAGCCAGUCAAGGUCAAGAGAAAAAAAGAGAGGAAGAAGCUAAUAAUCAGCGCCGGGGGUUGGGCCUAGCAUUUCAGACAAUGGGUGUAUGUCCUGGAAUAGUCUGUCAUGGGGAUUGUGAAUCUCUUGUUCCCUUAGCUGGUCUCAAUUCCAGUCAACUCUCACCAGAUACAUAAAUAUUUUUAGUUCAACCCAGCUUGCAACCCACUUACUCUCAGCAAACAACGCGAUCUCCUACCUCAAUCCAAAAAAAAAAAAUGGAAGCUCUAAAUUGUGAACUGCUUCCUUCCUGUUCAUCCUUCCCCACCCCGGACACUUACCCUCCCCUUCUCCAGCCCCAGAGGAGUCUUUCUUAGUUAAGACCUGUCUUCUCUCCUCCAGGACUUGGCUCGUUAGUGACACCCUCUCCCUCAUAACCAGAGGCUGGCAGCACAGAGGAUAAAAAACCCUGGCUUUGGGGCUGACGCCUGCCAGGUUGGAAUAUGGUUUCGUACUUUGUAACCACAUGACUGUGGGCAUGUUGCUUAACUUGUAUGUGUUUCAGUUUUUCCGUUUGGAAAAUGGGACUAGCGGUUGAGUUUCCCUGAGAGUGUGGGGAGCAUGCCAUGAGUGAAGGCAGGUGAAGGGCGUGGAGCGGCAUCUGGCACGGCUCGAACGCAUGUUAGUUUCUACUAUUCCUGCCACUGCUGCCCUUCACCUGCUAAUCUCUGCAUCUCGAUUGGUUUCGACCCCGUAGCCCCGAUGUUUGCUGAACCAUUUCCUGUUCUGGAAAAGAACAAAACCAAACCUCCUCUAGAGCCUGAUCCCCUUCUAACUACUGUCUUCUCUCUCUCCUCUUCCCACCCAAGCGUUUUAAAGACUUUUCAAGGUUAGCUGUCUCUACUUGGUCACCUCCUAUUAACUUUUAUUUUCUUUUUAGAAAAUUUUUUUUUUUUUUUUGGAGAGGAAGAUUCACCCUGAACUAACAUCUGUGCCAAUCUUCCUCUGUUUCGUAUGUGGGAUGCUGCCCCAGUGUUGCUUGAUGAGCAGUGUUUAGGUCUGCACCUAGGAUCUGAACCUGAGAACCCCGGGCUGCCAAAACAGAGCAUGCAAACUUAACCACUAUGCCACUGGCUGGCCCCUAGAAAUUGUUUUUAACGAGACAUUAACUAGAUAUAAAAAUUAUAAAGUAUUUUCUAUUUUGGAAAUAGAUCUUUCUCUCAUUUCCCUUUAUCAUUAUGCAGAUUUUUAUAUUUAUCCUUCCCUUACUUUCUUCAUAGAUUUACCUAAUAUGUGAGUAUUUAAUUUUGCAUAUCGUUGAACUUUAUAAGUAGAAUUAUAUGAUAGAAUCUAGAGGCUUGCUCUUUUGAACCUAACUAUGAUUUCAUCCAUUUUUACUGGCAUAAAGAAUGUCAUUAUAUGCCACAACUUACUCAUUUUCCUGUUUAUGGCUAUUUGGUCCUUUUGCUAUUAUAAACAUGUUUGCUAUGAAUCUUCUUACACAUAUAUCCUGGUGUACCAUAUACACAAGUUUUUCUAGCAUUACACCUCAGAAUGGAAUUUCUAGGAUGUUUGUAUAUACCCCCCGUAUUCACUGAAUAUUAUGAAUUGUUGGUCAAAGUGGUUAUGCUAUUUGAUGCUCCCAUCAACAGAAUAAGUGUUCUUGUCAGACUUUUUAAUUUUGGGGUUUGAAAUGGUAUCUGAUAUUUUAAAAUUACGUUAUCUGAUUACUAAGAGGUCAACCAUCUUUUCAUUUGCUUCUUGACCAUUUUGAUUUAUUCUUCAGUGAAGUGCCAGUUUACACAUUUUGCCCAGUUUUCUUUUGGCUUGUAUUUGUUUGCGGUAGUUCUUUGUAAUUCUGGGAUAAUAAGCCUGUCUCCAAAUUUGUGGUUUGCCUUUCAUUUUAUGUUCUUUCCUCCUCUUCUAGCUGCUUUUGAAAUUUUUGUCUUUGUCGCUGGUUUCCAGCAAUCUGAUUAUAAUGUGGCUUGAUGUGGUUUUCUUUUUUUUAAAAAAAAAAAAAAAACUUACUGAGAUAUAAUUCAUAUACCAUACAAUUCAUUCAUUUAAAGUGUACAGUUCUCUGACUUUCAGUAUAGUCAUAGAAUAGUGCAUCUAUCAGCAUAAUCAAUUUUAGAACAUCUUUGUUACCUAAAGAAGAAACCUGAUACUUAGUCAUCACCCCCAAACCAUCCAACCCCCCCACCCUAGGCAAUCACUAAUCUACUUUCUGUUUCUGCUGCUGAUUCUGGGCAUUUCGUAGAAACGGAAUCAUCAAUAUGUGGUCCUUUGUGACUGUUUUUUUUCACAUAGCAUAAUGUUUUCAAAGGUCGUCUGUGUUGUAGCUUGUAUCAGUACUUUAUUUCUUUUUACUGCCAAAUAAUAUUUCUCUCUAUGGAUAUAUCAUGUUUUAUUUAUCCAUUUGUUGAAAAGGCUGUUCUUUUCCCCAUUGAAUUGUCUUGGUACUCUUGUAAAAAAUCAACUGGCCGUGGAUGUAUGGGUUUAUAUGUGGACUUUCAAUUCUAUUCCAUUGAUGCAUAUCUAGCUUUAUGUGAGUACCAUGUUGUCUUGAUUCCUGUAGCUUUAUAUUAAGUUUUGAAAUUGGGAAGGAUGAGCCCUCCAACUUUGAUCGUGUUUUUCAAGAUUGUUUUGGUUAUUCUGGUUCCCUUGAAUUUCCAUAAGAAUUUGAGGAGCAGCUUCUCAAUUUCUGCACAGAAGUUAGCUGGGAUUUGUGUCUUAGUCAGAAAUUGUGUUGUACUUGUGCAUCAGUUUCAGCUGUGGCUUUAUUUCUGGUAACUCCUUCCUCAUUUCCUUGAGUCCUCACUGAUAGCGCCUUUAAUGUCCAUACUGCUACUAACAGUCUGUUCAAAGCAAUUUAGGUUUUUUCCUAUCGUGUUUCUCAAAAUUCUUCCAGCCUCUACCCACUGCCUGAUUCCAAGGCUCUUCUGUAUUUUUAGGUAUUUGCUAUAACGGCACACCACUUCCAGCACCAAAGGCUGUAUUCAUUUUCUACUGCUGCCGUAACAAAUGACUGCAAACUUAGUGGCUAAAACACUUAUUACCUCACGUUCUGCAGGUUCCAAGUCUGAGCUGACCCUUCAGUAGCUCUUGAGCAUCAUCUCCCACUAUUCUCUGUGUAUUCUAGGCUCUAGGAUAACAGGCAGCUGGUAGUUCCCUGCAGACAUCACGCCAUCCACAUAUCUGUGCACUGGUCUUGUGGUCUUCCCGUCACCUAGUGUCUUAGUCAGUUGAGCUUUUAUGACAGAAUACUAUAGACUGGGUGGUUUAAACAAUAAGCAUUUAUUUCUCAUGGUGCUGGCGGCUGGAAGUGUGAGAUCAGCGUGCCGGCAUGGUUGGCUUCUUGGUGAGGGCUUUCUUCCUGGUUACAUCCUCACAUAGCUGUUCCUUGGUGUGUGCAUGCAGAGAGAAAGAGCUCUGGUCUCAUCAUCCCCUUGUAAGGGUGCUGAUCUCAUCACGGAGGGCUCCACUCUCAUCACCUCAUCUACACCUAAUUAUUUCCCAAAGACCCCACCUCCAAAUACCAUCACACUGGGGAUCAGAGCUUCAGCAUAUGAAUUUUGGGAGGACACACGCCUGUAGUCCACAGCAUGCAGCAUGCUCAUCCCACUGUUUAUUGGCUGAUGCCUUUAUUUUCUAAAUCUGUAGAAUCCUCUCUUCUAGAAAAUUGGACUCUCCCGCUGAAUUAAGUGGCCCACUCUGUGUGUCCAUAAUUGCUUGUCGUCCUUUAUCUUCAUUUACCGUGUGGUAUCAGAAUUACCUAUCACGUGUCAGUCACCCCUAAUAGACCGUGUCUCUGAACUCUGUACUCCCAGGGCUUAGUAAUUGCCUGGUACAUAGUAGCAAGCAAAGAAUACUUGGAACUGAACUAGAUGGGGGAAAUUAUGACUAUAUUUGACCACAUACGUUAAAACUUCCGUCAAACAGCUAAAAAUUAAAAGGCAGAUAAAAACUGGUUUAAAAAAAGUUGCAAUAAGUGACAGGGAGAAGUUUGACAUACAGUAUAAUAUAUUUCAGGGAAAACAUUGUCCCCUGUAAGUAAAGGGUAAGUCACAAAAGGGCAAAUAUAAAUAGCCAUAAUAAUGUGGAAAACGUUCAAAUCUGACUAGUAAUCAAGAUAUGUAAAUCAAAAUGAUGCCAUAUUUUCCUAAUCACUUUAUCAAACAUAAAGAUCUUGUAUUGCCUAUAAUGCCUGAGAAACAUACUCACAUAUUGCUA
rnacentral:lncRNA from 1 species